CUGCAGUCGAACGAUGAAGGAGGAGCUUGCUCCUCCGGAUUAGUGGCGAACGGGUGAGUAAUACGUGAGCAAUGUGCCCUUGACUCUGGGAUAAGCGCUGGAAACGGCGUCUAAUACCGGAUACGACCCUCGGAGGCAUCUCCUGUGGGUGGAAAGAACUUCGGUCAAGGAUCAGCUCACGGCCUAUCAGCUUGUUGGUGAGGUAACGGCUCACCAAGGCGACGACGGGUAGCCGGCCUGAGAGGGUGACCGGCCACACUGGGACUGAGACACGGCCCAGACUCCUACGGGAGGCAGCAGUGGGGAAUAUUGCACAAUGGGCGCAAGCCUGAUGCAGCAACGCCGCGUGAGGGACGACGGCCUUCGGGUUGUAAACCUCUUUUAGCAGGGAAGAAGCGAAAGUGACGGUACCUGCAGAAAAAGCACCGGCUAACUACGUGCCAGCAGCCGCGGUAAUACGUAGGGUGCAAGCGUUGUCCGGAAUUAUUGGGCGUAAAGAGCUCGUAGGCGGUUUGUCACGUCUGCUGUGAAAACCCGAGGCUCAACCUCGGGCUUGCAGUGGGUACGGGCAGACUAGAGUGCGGUAGGGGAGAUUGGAAUUCCUGGUGUAGCGGUGGAAUGCGCAGAUAUCAGGAGGAACACCGAUGGCGAAGGCAGAUCUCUGGGCCGUAACUGACGCUGAGGAGCGAAAGCAUGGGGAGCAAACAGGCUUAGAUACCCUGGUAGUCCAUGCCGUAAACGUUGGGAACUAGAUGUGGGGACCAUUCCACGGUCUCCGUGUCGUAGCUAACGCAUUAAGUUCCCCGCCUGGGGAGUACGGCCGCAAGGCUAAAACUCAAAGGAAUUUGACGGGGGCCCGCACAAGCGGCGGAGCAUGCGGAUUAA
rnacentral:rRNA from 1 species